GCAGGAGCCCGGACGCGGGCAAGAUGGCGGCCGCGGCCGUGCGGCCCGUGACCUGGACCACUGGGCUGGGACCCACGACCCCACCACCACGCCUGGAGGACGCGCAGCGGCGCCUCGGCCUUGGAAGGGGAGUUUCCCAGCGCGAGCCCCGCCCUUCCCCGCCCGGGAGGCGCCUCGGGGCGGGGUCACUGGCCGGGAGGCCCCGCCUUCCGCCCGAAAGCGCCGGUGCACCCCGCAGGCCCUGCCCGUGGGUCCACAGGCCGGAUCCCCGGGUUCCUAGGCUGGGACUGCUUCUCAGAACCACUCUGUCGUUUUUAAGCAGGGUCACACACUCUAGCUCACUGGGUCCAUUUUAAUUUCUAUUAAACAUUUUUUUUUUUUUGCAAAUGAUGUAGUAGGAGAUCCAAGGUGUUUGGUUAAUGAUUUAUUCACUCAUUAGUCAUUCCACAAACUUGUCUUGAGCACCUGUUAUGUACCCAGCACUGUGCUGGAAUGCUGAGGAGACAGGAGUGAAGUAAAAAGACAUGGUUCCGGCAGGAAACAGGCAAGGAGAGCCUUGACUUGGUAGGGCUAACACAGUGCUACACAGGAGGGACGCCCGCUCGGUGUCGGGGGUCAGCAAAGCUUCCUUAAGGACCACUAGGUUGAGACAAGAAGGAUGAGUAUGGGAUUAGCCAGGAAAGGGAAAAGGGCAGUGGGAACUGGAAGAGAAGAGCCUUCUAGGACUGGGAAAGAGCAAGUGCCGGGUCAGGAGAGAGGACAUAGCAGUGAGGAGGCAGUAGGUAUGGAUGAAUGAGCAGAGGAAGUGGGGAGAGAUUAAGGUGCUUUCAGAAACGGGUUGGAAACCAGUUUAGUGAGUUUGGAUGGCAUUUACCUAAAGGCAAUGUUAGAGUCAUCGAAAGUUUUUAAUCAGGCAAGUGGUAUGAUCAGUUUUUUGUUUUGUUUUGUUUUUUUUGAGACGGAGUCUGGCUAUAUCGCCAGGCUGGAAUGCAAUGGCGCGAUCUCUCCUCACUGCAACCUCCGCCUCCCGGGUUCAAGCGAUUCUCCUGCCUCAGCACCUCGAGUAGCUGGGACUACAGGCGCGCGCCACCACGCCCAGGUAAUAAGAGGAAAUAACUCUACAUUCAAAUUUGAGCAGGGCACUUGGUGACCUACUUAGACAUGACAUUCCUUGGCCUCCCUUUCAGCAAGAUGAGAAAACUGAGGCACAGAGAGGUGAAAUAAGGCCCCCAGAAUGCUCUUCUCCAAGACUUAGAAAAAUCAAAUGCUAUCCAUCCCUCAAGAUACAUCCCUCCAGCCCCUCCUUGAAGUCUCCUGCAGCUAGAAGUAGAAGUAGCAUCUAUCCCCAUCUGGACUCCUUAGCACUUUGCUGUACCUGCCUUAGUCCCCAUCUCUUUACACACACACACACACACACACACACACACACAGAGUAUUAUAAUACUAUUACCUAUUAUAUUACAUUAUAUUAUUGUAGUUCUACAGGAACUACAAGGAAUUCUACUGUGAAUUCCUUAAGGGUGGGAUACAUUUUACAAUCAUCACUGUUUCUCUCAUUAGUUGUGGAAUCAAAAAAAUGAGUGCACGAUGAAAAAUUAUUCAAACACAUACAUGCUUUCAUUCCAAUUGAAAAUGUAAAAAUAUUACUGUUAAAACAAUAUUAAAGGACAUGUAAUACAAUUCAAAUAUUCCUACCAUGCACGAUUGUUUUCACUUCUUUGUGCCUCUUUCACCAUUUAUUUGUGUGCAUACUCAGCAUAUUUGUUUGUGUAACAGGAUGUUAAAAAUAGAAUUUGUUGCCUGUAGUUUUUGCUAAAGCUCUACUAGACUGGAACAGAACAAUAGGUGGUAAAUACUCCAUUCCUCAGUGAGAUGCUACCUACCUAUGCAGAGCUGGAAAAGAUUUUGCAACCUGAAAACCCAAUCCUUUCUGAGAUAUAAAAGAACAGAAGAGUCUGGAAGUGAUUUCUUCGGAGAAAUUCAUUUUCUGUGAGUCUCACUCCUAAUCCCCUAUGAGAUAUCUGGGGGUGAAGGGCAGGUGCUGUUCCACACAGAGAGCUUGAUCCGUGCAUCUUGGAAGAGGGAGGUAGGUAGGGAACAGGGUGGGCUGCUUUGGGACCCAUGCCUUAAAACUCAGGUACUGGGGCUGGCUGGUUCUAAUGGCCAAGAGGUGAGAGGUGCACCUGUGGGGAACAACCUUCACUCUCAGUUUGUCAGGAUAGAGGAUAUGAGUCUUGCCCUGAGGAUGGGAUGUAGACUACAAGGGCAAGAGAGUCAGCUUAAAGAAAUCUGUAGAACUAUCUGCCAGGACUGAGGUGACCAUAGCAGAGAGAUGUUGGAGGUAUUCUGUUGGGAACAAGAUGGUGUGAGGUAAAGAUUGUAUUUGAUACCUGCUGGAGAAGAGAUCUUGCAUUAAGGCCAGCAUUAAGAGAACUUCAGAUGAGAAAUCCCUGGUGAAGCAGAGUCUCCAAAGAAUGCAUAAGAGCUCUGCAGUGAGAAAGAGAUCACCUGAAUACCUUCCAAAAUCAAAGCGUGGCAGUGACCAGCUAAGCAGAUCUUUCCUGUCUUCUACCUGGAAGGGCCUGAAACUGCAAUUCAUGAGUUUGGGGAAGGCAGAGAGGCACAAAGUGGGGAAAUGGAAAAGUUGACUAUGUCCGCUUUCCUACUGCAGUAUUCCAGAGAAGAAACUUCAAGCUCAGAAUAUUGGCUACUACCUGUGAUAAACAUUUAAAUUAUUGGAACGAGAGAGUUUUUAUAACUAAAUUUGAAAGAAGCAAUUUUUUUUAUCAAAGACCAACCCGAAGAUUCAUGACCACUACCUGUGAUUUCAUCCAUGUUGCAAGGAAAAUCCUGCCCCACUUCCCCAAUAGGAAGAGUGGUGGGGGAAUAAUAAAGUUGUUUUAUGAUGCAUCCUGUGGACUUCUACUCGACAGAAUGGUAACAUUCAACUGUAAUCAGGAUGAGCAAGCCACUUUAUUAAACUAAAAUUUUAAACUUUAAUAAAUAUAAUACAAACUGAAAAAUAAAAAUAAUUUUUCAACUCUACACAAGUAUGUUAACUGCAUAAACAGUGAGAUGUUACACAGGGCUGAGGCCUAUACUUCUUCAGUUUGUACAUUAAACGUCUCCAUGGAGGGUCAAUUGCAUCCUACCUAUUCUGACAGUUAUCAGGUAGCGAGAGAUUUGAGGAAGAGGCGCUUUUCUAAUCUGGGGUAGGAAAAGGAAUGAUACCAUGUAUCAUGAGAAGUAUUUGCACAUAGUGUGUCAAUUAAGCAAGUGCUCAGACUAUUAACAACAUUACUAUGUGAUGAAUGUUUAUACAGUGGAUUCAAAAAUAAGCUUCUUUCCAGAAAGCAGCUUAGUUUUCAUUAAUUAUUACCAGCAUCUUGGUAAUUAUUUAUUUAAUGGUUUAAAAGUUAAAGUUUCAAUCUAUAUUUGUUUUUUUAACAUCAGCCAAGGAAAUACAUGUCUGUUAUACUGCAUCUUUGGAAGUAUGCAAUAAGUGUAACUAUUGAAUCUAUAUUGAAGAGCCACAAGACACUGAAUUUAAUUGGACGAGACUAUUUUAUUUAGGAAGACAAUCAUCUCCUGUGAUCAGCUUAAGGUUUUUGUUUUGUUUUAUCUGGAACAAGCUAAGUUCAUAUUUAGAAAAUAAAGUUAGUUUUUUGGGUGCAUGAGUUUUAGAGUAAAUUAGUAAUUUAGUAAACUUUGACAUUUCCACUUUGUCUCCAAACACAUUUAAAUUCUAUCUGUCUGACUGAAGUUCUAAGGCAUUCUGUGGUUACUUAGAAAUGAUUCCUUAUAUUAAUGUUUACAAAUGCUAAAUUGUAUUUGUUAAAUACAUGUCUUAUUGCCUAAGAGUUUUCCUUUCUUAUAAGUUUAAUAUAAAUGUCUAGGAAAUAAGACUCCCAUUUAAUAGCUUAUAAAGAAUGCUGAUGUAUCAGCAGUGGCCUUGACAUUAUUGGAUACAAGUAAGAUCUACACUGAUGAUUAAAUCAAAUUGGCUAAGAUUAUUCGUUCUAAUAAAAGCACUGACUCCAUGAAGUUUUCUUGUGGCUGAAAUUAACAUUCGUGUUCCUACAAGCUCUUUAAAAUCUUAGUUACUGAAAAUUAUUCCUUUUGACCUAAUUUUUUCUUUACUUUGGAUGUAUUUGACAAGGUAGAGGUUAGGGAUUGGAGAGUAUGUAAAGAAUGAAAUAAAAUGUAGUCACUUUUAACUAUAUCCACAUA
rnacentral:lncRNA from 10 species